rnacentral:rRNA from 1 species
GGAGUCUAGCAUGUGCGCGAGUCAUUGGGACACGCGAAACCUAAAGGCGAAAUGAAAGUGAAGGCGCGCCUCGCGCGCGCCUAGGGAGGAUGGGCCGGGCCUCGGCUCGGCCCCGCACUCCCGGGGCGUUUCGUUCUCAUCGCGAGAUGAGGCGCACCCAGAGCGUACACGCUGGGACCCGAAAGAUGGUGAACUAUGCCUGGUCAGGACGAAGUCAGGGGAAACCCUGAUGGAGGUCCGUAGCGAUUCUGACGUGCAAAUCGAUCGUCGGAACUGGGUAUAGGGGCGAAAGACUAAUCGAACCAUCUAGUAGCUGGUUCCCUCCGAAGUUUCCCUCAGGAUAGCUGGCGCCCGUUUCGCGAGUCUCAUCCGGUAAAGCGAAUGAUUAGAGGCAUUGGGGUCGAAACGGCCUCAACCUAUUCUCAAACUUUAAAUGGGUGAGAUCUCCGGCUUGCUUGACAGAUAUUUAAGUGAAGCCGCGAGAAACUCUUUACACAGGAUCAGGGUGCCAAGUGGGCCAUUUUUGGUAAGCAGAACUGGCGCUGUGGGAUGAACCAAACGCCGGGUUAAAGCGCCAAAAUCGACGCUUAUGGGAUACCAUGAAAGGCGUUGGUAACUUAAGACAGCAGGACGGUGGCCAUGGAA